rnacentral:rRNA from 1 species
GAUGAACGCUGGCGGCGUGCCUAAUACAUGCGAGUCGAGCGAACAGAUGAGGAGCUUGCUCCUCUGACGUUAGCGGCGGACGGGUGAGUAACACGUGGAUAACCUACCUAUAAGACUGGGAUAACUUCGGGAAACCGGAGCUAAUACCGGAUAAUAUAUUGAACCGCAUGGUUCAAUAGUGAAAGACGGUUUUGCUGUCACUUAUAGAUGGAUCCGCGCCGCAUUAGCUAGUUGGUAAGGUAACGGCUUACCAAGGCAACGAUGCGUAGCCGACCUGAGAGGGUGAUCGGCCACACUGGAACUGAGACACGGUCCAGACUCCUACGGGAGGCAGCAGUAGGGAAUCUUCCGCAAUGGGCGAAAGCUUGACGGAGCAACGCCGCGUGAGUGAUGAAGGUCUUCGGAUCGUAAAACUCUGUUAUUAGGGAAGAACAAAUGUGUAAGUAACUAUGCACGUCUUGAUGGUACCUAAUCAGAAAGCCACGGCUAACUACGUG